GACACAUGUGACCCAUCCAUCUCCCUUAUGAAAAUAAUACAUUAAUGUACUAUAAAUAAAGAAGCAUUAUUUAAACUUAAAAUACUGCAAUUUAUUUAUUGCUUUAGUGGAACGGUUAUUCAGAUAAAUUGACAUUUGAUCAUAGAAGAAUACGGUCGAAUAGCCAAGAGCUCCAGAAAAAAAAGCAGCAGAAGGAGGUCCAAACAGGGGUUAUUAUCCUUCAAGACCACAAAAUGGAAAAUGAAGAUGGGGCAGAAGGGGAUGCUGAAACGUACCCUCUUCACUAUGCUGCCCGUUUUGGGACCAAUUCAAUCCCAAAAGAGAUGCUAUUUGGUGAAGUGAACCCGUUGAGUGAGAACAGUGAAGGAGACUACCCUUUGGAAAUCGCCGUCAAGCACAAUUUUAAUGCGGCGAGGGUCAUUUUAUCACUCUGCGUAUUAAAAGAAAUUCAUAUCCGGUGGGACAAUAUGGACAUUUCUUCAUACGCAAUGCUUAAAUGUUUAGAAUAUAUCUCUUUAUGUAAGCAAGAGACUAGGUUGAUGAAAGAAAUUAAAUUAAACGCAUCGUUCUCAUUACACGAUGCUGCUUCGGCAAGUGUGGCCCAGUUGUCAGUAUACCUGGAGAACAAUGUAAUCCGGAGUGAAUGUAUGAAGUACAACUGGCCACAUGAGCUCACGAUAUAUGCCAACCUAGUCUCCUUUAAAAUCACAGCGGCAGAAAAGAGGAGAAUUUUAAGAUCUCAGUUGCUUCAGCACUUUACCAUUUCCUCCAAAAGAUUCCUCCCCGACAUCGUCGAUGAAAUUUUAAGGAAUCUUAAGGAAUCAGAAGUGGAAAAAUGUGUUGAAGCUUUCUCACCAAAAGCUUGAAAGCCUUACCAUAUUGAAUUUUUAACCAAUAACGUCUCAACGUUUAAAAAACGGUGGAGGUUCUUAAUCGACGCGUAUAUACAGGUACCCCUCGUAUAGCACGUCUAAGUCCUACGGUAUAGUAUCGAAACCGUGUUAUACGAGACUUUUUAUAAAUUAUUCUUUGCUUAUUUUUUAAACUAAUUAUUCAUGUAGGGGAAUGAGGGACAAAGUACUUAAGAACAAAGAUUACUUACUUUUUUCAAAAUGAACAAAAUUAGAAACUUGUUUUCAAAAUUACGGUACAUAAAGAAACUGAGACCUCAAAUUCUCCUAUGUUCUGCCGCUGAGAAUAUAUUUUAUAACAAAACGCAUUGAAACAUUCAUUACUUUUGUACUCAGUAGUAGAAAACGCAUAGUAAAAAAUUUAGGAAAAUCAAAAAUUUGGAACAAUUUUUAUCCUGUUUGGAUGAUUUCAGAUCGAUUGACCCUGUACCUAGAUCCAAAACUACUGCUGAAGUUUCAUAGUUUUCAUUCAUAUCCGCUUUUCACCUGCUGCUUUCAAGACAGCUUUUUCAAUAUUUUAUUAAAUUUUUUUUAUUUAUUUUUUAUUUGUUUUUCCCAAACCCAUGCUGUGCCUUAUGGAAAAAAUCAUAUUUUUCUAAAGAAAUCCAUCAAUGAGAACCAUAACAUGUUUCCUGUUUCCAAUAAUUUUGAAACAAUAUGCAAAACUGAAAUAGCUUGGAAAUCAUUAGUCAUAUCUAUUUCCUGAUUUGUGUAUUGGUGUAAUUAUUGCUUUUUUUUUAGAUCUAUAAAUUCACCUCUUUGCAGACUUGCAAAAAUUACAUGGUAAAAUACCAAAGUGUCACGAAAAAAUUGUUAAUUUCAAAAUGAUAUUUUGCAACAAUCUUAUGUUCUUUACUUAUAACUCCGUCAUGUCCCAGUGUUUUAUCAUUUUGCAUAUAAUCAAUAAGACUUUUAACCUUAUUAACUUCCACUGAGUAAAUAUACAUAGAAUUUAUUUGAUGUGUGAUAUUAUUAUUAUAGUUUAAUACCGUUUAUUUCCACCCAGCAAUUUGUAAAAAAGUCAAACUUUUCAACCAGUUCAUUGCUAUUAACUACAUUGAUGGAACUCUUUUUCUUAACCCCUGUAAUAUUUUUAAUAAUAUUCCAUUGUUUUCUUUCAUCUUUCAAAGUUUGUACCAAUUUUUUAUUGAAAAAAAAAUCCUCAUUUUUUCUUUUUUAAUCAAUUUUCUAAACUGUUUGUUAUAUUCUUUAUAAUUAGUUAUGUGUUCCUUAAUAUAAGGAUUUUCUUUUGAUUUUUGUAUAAUUUUUCUUUUUUAUCAAUCAUAUUUACCAACUCUUCUGUAAUCCAUUGUUAUAUUCUUUAUAAUUAGUUAUGUGUUCCUUAUUAUAAGGAUAUUGUUUUGAUUUUUGUAUAAUUUUUCUUUUUUAUC